GUGAAUGCUUGUGGGUGCACCAGCAUGCCUGCGGGGCCCAGGGCCGGUCGUUGGCUGGCGCUGGCCUGCCUGGGCACGCCAUGGCACGCUCCACCAUGGCAGGGCCUGUUCUGUGGGGGGACUGGCAACCUCAGCCCUCGGGCGCCUCCAGUUUAGGCUUUCUGCCUACCCAGCAACUUCUAAUUUGGGUGCGUGGUUGGGAGGAGCUCUCGGCUGUCAGCCGGGCCUUUGGGGGUUUUGGCUCCUGACUUCUAGAACCCGCAUUAAGUGCAGUUGGGGGCCAGUCGGGGCCCCCCUCCCUCCCCCGAGAUUGGAGGUGCCACAGGUGGGGCAGGAGUCCCGGCCGCGGCCCUUGAGGAGCCAUGACGGAGUACAAGCUCGUGGUGGUGGGCGCAGGGGGCGUGGGGAAGAGCGCUCUGACCAUCCAGCUGAUCCAGAACCACUUUGUGGACGAGUACGACCCCACCAUAGAGGACUCGUACCGGAAGCAGGUGGUCAUCGACGGGGAGACCUGUCUGCUGGACAUCCUGGACACAGCGGGCCAGGAGGAGUACAGCGCCAUGCGGGACCAGUACAUGCGCACUGGAGAGGGCUUCCUCUGUGUGUUUGCCAUCAACAACACCAAGUCUUUUGAGGACAUCCAUCAGUACAGGGAGCAGAUCAAGCGGGUUAAGGAUUCGGACGAUGUGCCCAUGGUGCUGGUGGGGAAUAAGUGUGACCUGGCUGCACGCACCGUGGAGUCUCGGCAGGCUCAGGACCUCGCCCGCAGCUACAGCAUCCCCUACAUUGAGACGUCGGCCAAGACCCGGCAGGGCAGCCGCUCUGGCUCUGGCUCCAGCUCCGGGACCCUCUGGGACCCCCCCGGGACCCAUGUGACCCAGCGGCCCCUUGCGCUGGCGUGGAGGACGCCUUCUACACACUGGUGCGCGAGAUCCGGCAGCACAAGCUGCGGAAGCUGAACCCCCCCGACGAGAGUGGCCCGGGCUGCAUGAGCUGCAAGUGUGUGCUGUCCUGACGGCAGGCUCGGGACACGGAGGUGCCGGAUGCAGGGAGGAAGCGCGGAAGGAAGGAAGGAGAAGGGAAGGAAGGAAGGAAGGAGGUGUCGCUGGAGCCCGGCCAACAACCAGGGACGGUGGACAGAGGGGCGAUGCUGACCCCCCCAGGGACGCUUUGCAGAGACUGCUGUGAACAGCCCAGAGGCCACCGGAUCCCUGCCCUCUGCCCCCUCCCAGCCCUCUGCAGGCCUUUUGGGCCCAGGUUGAAUCCAGUAAAUUAUUGGAUGGUGGA